rnacentral:lncRNA from 10 species
AGGAAAUAGGAGUUCUAUGAGAGGAGACAGGAUCAUCUGGUUUAGCUGCUCAUUAUAAUUAUCCUGUGAAAGAAGAUGUACAAAUACUACUGUAUAAAGAAGUACAAGGCUUGUACAUUGAAAAUUAUGAAACAUUGUUGGAAGAAGUUAAAGAUCUAAAGAAAUGGAAAGACAUCCCAUGUUCAUGAAUUGGGAGGCUUAGUAUUCAUAAGAUAGAAGUACUCCCCAACAUGAUGAAUUUAACAUAGUCCCUACCACAAG